CCUACGGGUGGCAGCAGUGAGGAAUAUUGGUCAAUGGGCGCGAGCCUGAACCAGCCAAGUCGCGUGAGGGAUGAAGGUUCUAUGGAUCGUAAACCUCUUUUAUAAGGGAAUAAAGUGUGGGACGUGUCCUAUUUUGUAUGUACAUAUUGAAUAAGGAUGGGCUAACUACGUGCCAGCAGCCGCGGUAAUACGGAGGUUCCGAGCGUUAUCCGGAUUUAUUGGGUUUAAAGGGUGCGUAGGCGGCCUUUUAAGUUAGCGGUGAAAGUCUGUGGCGCAACCAUAGAAUUGCCGUUGAAACUGGGGGGCUUGAGUAUGUUUGAGGCAGGCGGAAUGCGUGGUGUAGCGGUGAAAUGCUUAGAUAUCACGCAGAACCCCGAUUGCGAAGGCAGCCUGCCAAGCCAUGACUGACGCUGAUGCACGAAAGCGUGGGGAUCAAACAGGAUUAGAUACCCUUGUAGUC
rnacentral:rRNA from 1 species